rnacentral:rRNA from 1 species
CAGCAGCCGCGGUAAUACAUAGGGGGCAAGCGUUAUCCGGAAUUAUUGGGCGUAAAGGGUGCGUAGGCGGCUUCUUAAGUCUGAUGUGAAAUCCCACAGCUUAACUGUGGGCGGUCAUUGGAAACUGGGGAGCUUGAGUACAGCAGAGGUAAGUGGAAUUUCAAGUGGAGCGGUGGAAUGCGUAGAUAUUUGAAGGAACACCAGUGGCGAAGGCGGCUUACUGGGCUGGAACUGACGCUGAUGCACGAAAGCGUGGGGAGCAAACAGGAUUAGAUACCCUGGUAGUCCACGCCGUAAACGUUGAGCACUAAGUAUCGGAUGAGAAUUCGGUGCUGCAGUUAACACAUUAAGUGCUCCGCCUGGGGAGUACGGUCGCAAGACUGAAACUCAAAGGAAUUGACGGGAACUCGCACAAGCGGUGGAGCAUGCGGUUUAAUUCGAUGCAACGCGAAGAACCUUACCAGGUCUUGACAUCCCAUUGACUCAUCUAGAGAUAGGUGUUUCCUUCGGGACAAUGGAGACAGGAGGUGCAUGGCC